CCUACGGGUGGCUGCAGUGGGGAAUAUUGGACAAUGGGGGCAACCCUGAUCCAGCCAUGCCGCGUGUGUGAAGAAGGCUCUAGGGUUGUAAAGCACUUUCAACAGGGAGGAAAAGUGAGUAGUUAAUACCUGCUCACCCUGACGUUACCUGUAGAAGAAGUACCGGCAAACUCCGUGCCAGCAGCCGCGGUAAUACGGAGGGUGCGAGCGUUAAUCGGAAUUACUGGGCGUAAAGCGCGCGUAGGCGGCUUGUUAAGCUGGAUGUGAAAUCCCCGGGCUCAACCUGGGAACUGCACCCAGAACUGGCAAGCUAGAGUACGGUAGAGGUGAGUGGAAUUUCCUGUGUAGCGGUGAAAUGCGUAGAUAUAGGAAGGAACAUCAGUGGCGAAGGCGGCUCACUGGACUGAUACUGACGCUGAGGUGCGAAAGCGUGGGGAGCA
rnacentral:rRNA from 1 species